rnacentral:lncRNA from 1 species
UCGGCAUAAUACACUUUAAUCGCCUGAACUACUGCGGAGCGAGUGGGAUGUCAUUAAGUAGACUAUCGUAGUGGUAGAGUUUGAAGAAUCAUUCGGGUGGAGGCUGCAGUUGAGACAUGCACUGAUGUUACUGGAUUGUCCCUCUUGUAACUCUAACAUCAACCCUUACAUCAACGAAGACAAUUGGUCGUGUUUGGCGUCGUAUUGAUGAAGAGGCACACAAAGAAAGGAGAAGCUAUGUGGCUACUGGUUGCAGUCAUCCGCGAGUGUCAGAAACUCCCUAUCACUUCAGAGGCUGAAAAAUGCUUUAGAGCAAAGGUUCCGGUGCUCUCCAGAGACAGACAGGGAGGAGGACGAGGAGGAUGAGGGUAAGGGCAUCAUGGGAGGAGGAGACCUUCACUUUGAUCUGAACCUGCUUCACUUUAUGAGUACUAGAGAUGCUCUGGGCAGGGGCUGGUGUCUACUUGUGUUAAAGGGAACAUGCUGCAGAGUUUGCCUGGCAGGUGGUCGUUCGGUAGGCUGUCUAAGCAGUGGUGCAUAAGCAAAGUAGUCCUAGGAAAGAGCACAGCAUAACACAGCACAGCGCAGCAUUGCACAGCACAGCAUAACACAGCACAGCACAGCACAGCACUGCACAGCACAGCACUGCACAGCACAGCAUAACACAGCACGGCAUAACACAGCACAGCACAGCAUUACACAGCACAGCACAGCAUUACACAGCACAGCACAGCACAGCACAGCACAGCAGACUGAGCCUCAAUAAAAAUCCUCUGUCCCUCUGAUAAUGCGAUUUU